GAUGAACGCUGGCGGCGUGCCUAAUACAUGCAAGUCGAGCGAACAGACGAGGAGCUUGCUCCUUUGAUGUUAGCGGCGGACGGGUGAGUAACACGUAGGUAACCUACCUAUAAGACUGGGAUAACUUCGGGAAACCGGAGCUAAUACCGGAUAAUAUUUCGAACCCCAUGGUUCGAUAGUGAAAGAUGGCUUUGCUAUCACUUAUAGAUGGACCUGCGCCGUAUUAGCUAGUUGGUAAGGUAACGGCUUACCAAGGCAACGAUACGUAGCCGACCUGAGAGGGUGAUCGGCCACACUGGAACUGAGACACGGUCCAGACUCCUACGGGAGGCAGCAGUAGGGAAUCUUCCGCAAUGGGCGAAAGCCUGACGGAGCAACGCCGCGUGAGUGAUGAAGGUCUUCGGAUCGUAAAACUCUGUUAUUAGGGAAGAACAAACGUGUAAGUAACUGUGCACGUCUUGACGGUACCUAAUCAGAAAGCCACGGCUAACUACGUG
rnacentral:rRNA from 1 species